GACAGAGGUGCCAAGCGUUAGGCGGAAUCACUGGGCUUAAAGCGUGUGUAGGCGGAUCGUUAAGUGUCUUGUGAAAUCCCACGGCUCAACCGUGGAACUGCUGGGCAUACUGGCGAUCUUGGGCCAUUCAGGGGCGACCGGAACAAGUGGUGGAGCGGUGAAAUGCGUAGAUAUCGCUUGGAACGCCGAAGGUGAAAACAGGUCGCUGGGGAUGUGCCGACGCUGAGACACGAAAGCCAGGGGAGCAAACGGG
rnacentral:rRNA from 1 species